rnacentral:tRNA from 1 species
GCCCUUAUAGCUCAGUGGUAGAGCGCCACUCCUAUAAACUGGAGGCCCGUAGUUCGAUCCUGCGUGGGGGGA